rnacentral:rRNA from 1 species
GGUUAAGCGACUAAGCGUACACGGUGGAUGCCCUGGCAGUCAGAGGCGAUGAAGGACGUGCUAAUCUGCGAUAAGCGUCGGUGAGGUGAUAUGAACCGUUAUAACCGGCGAUUUCCGAAUGGGGAAACCCAGUGUGUUUCGACACACUAUCAUUAACUGAAUCCAUAGGUUAAUGAGGCGAACCGGGGGAACUGAAACAUCUAAGUACCCCGAGGAAAAGAAAUCAACCGAGAUUCCCCCAGUAGCGGCGAGCGAACGGGGAGCAGCCCAGAGCCUGAAUCAGUGUGUGUGUUAGUGGAAGCGUCUGGAAAGGCGUGCGAUACAGGGUGACAGCCCCGUACACAAAAAUGCACAUACUGUGAGCUCGAUGAGUAGGGCGGGACACGUGGUAUCCUGUCUGAAUAUGGGGGGACCAUCCUCCAAGGCUAAAUACUCCUGACUGACCGAUAGUGAACCAGUACCGUGAGGGAAAGGCGAAAAGAACCCCGGCGAGGGGAGUGAAAAAGAACCUGAAACCGUGUACGUACAAGCAGUGGGAGCCUCUUAAUGGGGUGACUGCGUACCUUUUGUAUAAUGGGUCAGCGACUUAUAUUCUGUAGCAAGGUUAACCGAAUAGGGGAGCCGAAGGGAAACCGAGUCUUAACUGGGCGUUAAGUUGCAGGGUAUAGACCCGAAACCCGGUGAUCUAGCCAUGGGCAGGUUGAAGGUUGGGUAACACUAACUGGAGGACCGAACCGACUAAUGUUGAAAAAUUAGCGGAUGACUUGUGGCUGGGGGUGAAAGGCCAAUCAAACCGGGAGAUAGCUGGUUCUCCCCGAAAGCUAUUUAGGUAGCGCCUCGUGAAUUCAUCUCCGGGGGUAGAGCACUGUUUCGGCAAGGGGGUCAUCCCGACUUACCAACCCGAUGCAAACUGCGAAUACCGGAGAAUGUUAUCACGGGAGACACACGGCGGGUGCUAACGUCCGUCGUGAAGAGGGAAACAACCCAGACCGCCAGCUAAGGUCCCAAAGUCAUGGUUAAGUGGGAAACGAUGUGGGAAGGCCCAGACAGCCAGGAUGUUGGCUUAGAAGCAGCCAUCAUUUAAAGAAAGCGUAAUAGCUCACUGGUCGAGUCGGCCUGCGCGGAAGAUGUAACGGGGCUAAACCAUGCACCGAAGCUGCGGCAGCGACACUAUGUGUUGUUGGGUAGGGGAGCGUUCUGUAAGCCUGUGAAGGUGUACUGUGAGGUAUGCUGGAGGUAUCAGAAGUGCGAAUGCUGACAUAAGUAACGAUAAAGCGGGUGAAAAGCCCGCUCGCCGGAAGACCAAGGGUUCCUGUCCAACGUUAAUCGGGGCAGGGUGAGUCGACCCCUAAGGCGAGGCCGAAAGGCGUAGUCGAUGGGAAACAGGUUAAUAUUCCUGUACUUGGUGUUACUGCGAAGGGGGGACGGAGAAGGCUAUGUUGGCCGGGCGACGGUUGUCCCGGUUUAAGCGUGUAGGCUGGUUUUCCAGGCAAAUCCGGAAAAUCAAGGCUGAGGCGUGAUGACGAGGCACUACGGUGCUGAAGCAACAAAUGCCCUGCUUCCAGGAAAAGCCUCUAAGCAUCAGGUAACAUCAAAUCGUACCCCAAACCGACACAGGUGGUCAGGUAGAGAAUACCAAGGCGCUUGAGAGAACUCGGGUGAAGGAACUAGGCAAAAUGGUGCCGUAACUUCGGGAGAAGGCACGCUGAUAUGUAGGUGAAGUCCCUUGCGGAUGGAGCUGAAAUCAGUCGAAGAUACCAGCUGGCUGCAACUGUUUAUUAAAAACACAGCACUGUGCAAACACGAAAGUGGACGUAUACGGUGUGACGCCUGCCCGGUGCCGGAAGGUUAAUUGAUGGGGUUAGCGGUAACGCGAAGCUCUUGAUCGAAGCCCCGGUAAACGGCGGCCGUAACUAUAACGGUCCUAAGGUAGCGAAAUUCCUUGUCGGGUAAGUUCCGACCUGCACGAAUGGCGUAAUGAUGGCCAGGCUGUCUCCACCCGAGACUCAGUGAAAUUGAACUCGCUGUGAAGAUGCAGUGUACCCGCGGCAAGACGGAAAGACCCCGUGAACCUUUACUAUAGCUUGACACUGAACAUUGAGCCUUGAUGUGUAGGAUAGGUGGGAGGCUUUGAAGUGUGGACGCCAGUCUGCAUGGAGCCGGCCUUGAAAUACCACCCUUUAAUGUUUGAUGUUCUAACGUUGGCCCCUGAUCGGGGUUGCGGACAGUGUCUGGUGGGUAGUUUGACUGGGGCGGUCUCCUCCUAAAGAGUAACGGAGGAGCACGAAGGUUGGCUAAUCCUGGUCGGACAUCAGGAGGUUAGUGCAAUGGCAUAAGCCAGCUUGACUGCGAGCGUGACGGCGCGAGCAGGUGCGAAAGCAGGUCAUAGUGAUCCGGUGGUUCUGAAUGGAAGGGCCAUCGCUCAACGGAUAAAAGGUACUCCGGGGAUAACAGGCUGAUACCGCCCAAGAGUUCAUAUCGACGGCGGUGUUUGGCACCUCGAUGUCGGCUCAUCACAUCCUGGGGCUGAAGUAGGUCCCAAGGGUAUGGCUGUUCGCCAUUUAAAGUGGUACGCGAGCUGGGUUUAGAACGUCGUGAGACAGUUCGGUCCCUAUCUGCCGUGGGCGCUGGAGAACUGAGGGGGGCUGCUCCUAGUACGAGAGGACCGGAGUGGACGCAUCACUGGUGUUCGGGUUGUCAUGCCAAUGGCACUGCCCGGUAGCUAAAUGCGGAAGAGAUAAGUGCUGAAAGCAUCUAAGCACGAAACUUGCCCCGAGAUGAGUUCUCCCUGACUCCUUGAGAGUCCUGAAGGAACGUUGAAGACGACGACGUUGAUAGGCCGGGUGUGUAAGCGCAGCGAUGCGUUGAGCUAACCGGUACUAAUGAACCGUGAGGCUUAACCUU